rnacentral:rRNA from 1 species
UGGGGAAUAUUGGACAAUGGGCGAAAGCCUGAUCCAGCCAUGCCGCGUGUGUGAAGAAGGUCUUCGGAUUGUAAAGCACAUUAAGUUGGGAGGAAGGGCAGUAAGCGAAUACCUUGCUGUUUUGACGUUACCGACAGAAUAAGCACCGGCUAACUCUGUGCCAGCAGCCGCGGUAAUACAGAGGGUGCGAGCGUUAAUCGGAAUUACUGGGCGUAAAGCGCGCGUAGGUGGUUCGUUAAGUUGAAUGUGAAAGCCCCGGGCUCAACCUGGGAACUGCAUCCAAAACUGGCGAGCUAGAGUAGGGCAGAGGGUGGUGGAAUUUCCUGUGUAGCGGUGAAAUGCGUAGAUAUAGGAAGGAACACCAGUGGCGAAGGCGACCACCUGGGCUCAUACUGACACUGAGGUGCGAAAGCGUGGGGAGCAAACAGG